rnacentral:miRNA from 1 species
GACCUCGAUAUUCGACGUCAUAAACACGAUUAACUUUGGUGUUUAUGACGGCGAUAUACCACGUAAUAAACACGACAAACUUAGGUGUUUAUCACGUCGAUACAUAAACAAAAUCAACUUUGGUGUUUAUAACGUCGAUAUUCGACUUCAUAAACGCGAUCAACUUUGGUGUUUAUGAGGUCGACAUUCGACGUCAUAAACACGAUCAACUUUGGUGUUUAUGACGUCGAUAUUCGACGUAAUAAACACGAUCAACUUUGGUGUUUAUGACGUCGAUAUUCGACGUC